rnacentral:rRNA from 1 species
ACCUUCGGGCCUCUUGCCAUCAGAUGUGCCCAGAUGGGAUUAGCUUGUUGGUGAGGUAACGGCUCACCAAGGCGACGAUCCCUAGCUGGUCUGAGAGGAUGACCAGCCACACUGGAACUGAGACACGGUCCAGACUCCUACGGGAGGCAGCAGUGGGGAAUAUUGCACAAUGGGCGCAAGCCUGAUGCAGCCAUGCCGCGUGUAUGAAGAAGGCCUUCGGGUUGUAAAGUACUUUCAGCGGGGAGGAAGGUGUUGUGGUUAAUAACCGCAGCAAUUGACGUUACCCGCAGAAGAAGCACCGGCUAACUCCGUGCCAGCAGCCGCGGUAAUACGGAGGGUGCAAGCGUUAAUCGGAAUUACUGGGCGUAAAGCGCACGCAGGCGGUCUGUCAAGUCGGAUGUGAAAUCCCCGGGCUCAACCUGGGAACUGCAUUCGAAACUGGCAGGCUUGAGUCUUGUAGAGGGGGGUAGAAUUCCAGGUGUAGCGGUGAAAUGCGUAGAGAUCUGGAGGAAUACCGGUGGCGAAGGCGGCCCCCUGGACAAAGACUGACGCUCAGGUGCGAAAGCGUGGGGAGCAAACAGGAUUAGAUACCCUGGUAGUCCACGCCGUAAACGAUGUCUACUUGGAGGUUGUGCCCUUGAGGCGUGGCUUCCGGAGCUAACGCGUUAAGUAGACCGCCUGGGGAGUACGGCCGCAAGGUUAAAACUCAAAUGAAUUGACGGGGGCCCGCACAAGCGGUGGAGCAUGUGGUUUAAUUCGAUGCAACGCGAAGAACCUUACCUGGUCUUGACAUCCACGGAAGUUUUCAGAGAUGAGAAUGUGCCUUCGGGAACCGUGAGACAGGUGCUGCAUGGCUGUCGUCAGCUCGUGUUGUGAAAUGUUGGGUUAAGUCCCGCAACGAGCGCAACCCUUAUCCUUUGUUGCCAGCGGUCCGGCCGGGAACUCAAAGGAGACUGCCAGUGAUAAACUGGAGGAAGG